GAUGAACGCUAGCGGCAGGCCUAAUACAUGCAAGUCGAGGGGUAGAGUAGGCUUGCUUACUUGAGACCGGCGCACGGGUGCGUAACGCGUAUGCAACCUACCUUUAUCUGGGGGAUAGCCCGGAGAAAUCCGGAUUAAUACCGCAUAAAAUCACAGAAUGGCAUUAUUCAAUGAUCAAACAUUAAUGGGAUAGAGAUGGGCAUGCGUGUCAUUAGCUAGUUGGCGGGGUAACGGCCCACCAAGGCGACGAUGACUAGGGGAUCUGAGAGGAUGACCCCCCACACUGGUACUGAGACACGGACCAGACUCCUACGGGAGGCAGCAGUAAGGAAUAUUGGUCAAUGGAGGCAACUCUGAACCAGCCAUGCCGCGUGCAGGAAGACUGCCCUAUGGGUUGUAAACUGCUUUUAUCCGGGAAUAAACCACGAUACGUGUAUUGUGCUGAAUGUACCGGAAGAAUAAGGAUCGGCUAACUCCGUGCCAGCAGCCGCGGUAAUACGGAGGAUCCAAGCGUUAUCCGGAUUUAUUGGGUUUAAAGGGUGCGUAGGCGGCCUAUUAAGUCAGGGGUGAAAGACGGUAGCUCAACUAUCGCAGUGCCUUUGAUACUGAUGGGCUUGAAUGAACUAAAGUAGGCGGAAUGAG
rnacentral:rRNA from 1 species